GGGGGUGCACAUAGGUUUUAUGUGUGUUUAUUUUUCUUGUUUUUAUGUUUAUUCUUGUGUUUAUUUUAGUUUUUAUGCAUUUUUAAAAAAAAAUAAAAAAUCAAAACAUUAUUUUCCAUUUUUGUUUUAAAAUUUUCCAGAAAUCCAAAAAUAUUUAUUGUUUUUUUUUUUUUAUUCUUGUAUGGUGCUUGGACUAUAAGUAGGUAUUAAGUUACUACUUG
rnacentral:lncRNA from 1 species